rnacentral:tRNA from 1 species
UGAAAUAGUUCAGUUGGUAGAGCGUCAAACUAUAAAUCGAAAGGUCCUUGGUUCGAUUCCCGGCCGUUUUUUAU